rnacentral:rRNA from 1 species
ACUGCUAUCAGAGUGAGAUUAAGCCAUGCGAGUCAACGUAUGAAUAAUACGUGGCGAACGGCUCAGUAACACGUAGUCAACAUGCCCAGAGGACGUGGAUAACCUCGGGAAACUGAGGAUAAACCGCGAUAGGUCAUAAUUACUGGAAUGUGUUAUGGCCCAAAUCUAUAUGGCCUCUGGAUUGGACUGCGGCCGAUCAGGCUGUUGGUGAGGUAAUGGCCCACCAAACCUUUUACCGGUGCGGGCUCUGAGAGGAGGAGCCCGGAGAUGGGCACUGAGGCAAGGGCCCAGGCCCUAUGGGGCGCAGCAGGCGCGAAACCUCUGCAAUAGGCGAAAGCCUGACAGGGUUACUCUGAGUGAUUCCCGCUAAGGGAAUCUUUUGGCAUCUCUAAAAAUGGUGCAGAAUAAGGGGUGGGCAAGUCUGGUGUCAGCCGCCGCGGUAAUACCAGCACCCCGAGUGGUCGGGACGAUUAUUGGGCCUAAAGCAUCCGUAGCCGGUCUUGCAAGUCUUCCGUUAAAUCCAGCUGCUUAACAGAUGGGCUGCGGAGGAUACUACAAGGCUAGGAGGCGGGAGAGGCAAGCGGUACUCAGUGGGUAGGGGUAAAAUCCUCUGAUCCAUUGAAGACCACCAGUGGCGAAGGCGGCUUGCCAGAACGCGCUCGACGGUGAGGGAUGAAAGCUGGGGGAGCAAACCGGAUUAGAUACCCGGGUAGUCCCAGCUGUAAACGAUGCAGACUCGGUGAUGGGCCGGCUUUAUGCCGGCUCA